CCCUUAGAUGUUCUGGGCCGCACGCGUGCUACACUGAGUGGAUCAGCGGGUCAGGUUGCGCGAAAGUGUUUCCUAAUCUUUAAAUCCGCUCGUGAUGGGGAUUGACGGUUGCAAUUUUCCGUCAUGAACGAGGAAUACCUUGUAAGCGCGGGUCAUCAUCCCGCGCUGAAUACGUCCCUGCCCUUUGUACACACCGCCCGUCGCUCCUACCGAUUGGAUGGUCCGGUGAAGCCUCGGGAUUGUGGUUCUUGCCGCUUUAUUGUGGCGUGACCGCGAGAACUUGUCUAAACCUUAUCAUCUAGAGGAAGGUGAAGUCGUAACA
rnacentral:rRNA from 1 species